rnacentral:rRNA from 1 species
UACCUACGGGACGCAGCAGUAGGGAAUCUUCGGCAAUGGGGGCAACCCUGACCGAGCAACGCCGCGUGAGUGAAGAAGGUUUUCGGAUCGUAAAGCUCUGUUGUAAGAGAAGAACGUGUGUGAGAGUGGAAAGUUCACACAGUGACGGUAACUUACCAGAAAGGGACGGCUAACUACGUGCCAGCAGCCGCGGUAAUACGUAGGUCCCGAGCGUUAUCCGGAUUUAUUGGGCGUAAAGCGAACGCAGGCGGUUGGGUAAGUCUGAAGGUAAAGGCUGUGGGUUAACCAUAAUAUGCUUUUGAAAA